AGAUAGGUCCAAACGGCUCGAGAA
rnacentral:siRNA from 1 species